AAUAAUUUUAGAUGGAGUGGUGCCUUCGGGAACUCUGAGAUGGUGCUGCAUGGUUGUCUUCAGCUCGUGUUGUGAAUGUUGGGUUAAGUCCCGCAACGAGCGCAACCCUUAUCCUUGUUUGCCAGCGAGUAAUGUCGGGAACUCCAGGGAGACUGCCGGUGAUAAACCGGAGGAAGGUGGGGACAACGUCAAGUCAUCAUGGCCCUUACGAGUAGGGCUACACACGUGCUACAAUGGCGCAUACAGAGGGCAGCCAACUUGCGAGAGUGAGCGAAUCCCAAAAAGUGCGUCGUAGUCCGGAUCGGAGUCUGCAACUCGACUCCGUGAAGUCGGAAUCGCUAGUAAUCGUGAAUCAAAAUGCCACGGUGAAUACGUUCCCGGGUCUUGUACACACCGAA
rnacentral:rRNA from 1 species